rnacentral:snRNA from 1 species
UUUACAGAAUGUGAAACUAACAUU